UACGUAGGGUGCGAGCGUUAAUCGGAAUUACUGGGCGUAAAGCGUGCGCAGGCGGUGAUGUAAGACAGUUGUGAAAUCCCGGGCUCAACCUGGGAAUUGCAUCUGUGACUGCAUCGCUAGAGUACGGUAGAGGGGGAUGGAAUUCCGCGUGUAGCAGUGAAAUGCGUAGAUAUGCGGAGGAACACCGAUGGCGAAGGCAAUCCCCUGGACCUGUACUGACGCUCAUGCACGAAAGCGUGGGAGCAAACAGG
rnacentral:rRNA from 1 species